UCUGGUGUCAGCCGCCGCGGUAAAACCAGCACCUCAAGUGGUCAGGAUGAUUAUUGGGCCUAAAGCAUCCGUAGCCUGCUUUGUUAGUUUUCGGUUAAAUCCAUACGCUCAACGUAUGGGCUGCCGGGAAUACUGCAAAGCUAGGGAGUGGGAGAGGUAGACGGUACUCGGUAGGAAGGGGUAAAAUCCUUUGAUCUAUUGAUGACCACCUGUGGCGAAGGCGGUCUACCAGAACACGUCCGACGGUGAGGGACGAAAGCUGGGGGAGCAAACCGGAUUAGAUACCCGGGUAGUCCCAGCUGUAAACUAUGCAAACUCGGUGAUGCAUUGGCUUGAUGCCAAUGCAGUGCCGCAGGGAAGCCGUUAAGUUUGCCGCCUGGGAAGUACGUACGCAAGUAUGAAACUUAAAGGAAUUGGCGGGGGAGCACCACAAGGGGUGAAGCCUGCGGUUCAAUUGGAGUCAACGCCAGAAAUCUUACCCGGAGAGACAGCAGAAUGAAGGUCAAGCUGAAGACUUUACCAGACAAGCU
rnacentral:rRNA from 2 species